AUUGAACGCUGGCGGCAGGCCUAACACAUGCCAGUCGAGCGGAUGAAGGGAGCUUGCUCCUGGAUUCAGCGGCGGACGGGUGAGUAAUGCCUAGGAAUCUGCCUGGUAGUGGGGGAUAACGUCCGGAAACGGGCGCUAAUACCGCAUACGUCCUGAGGGAGAAAGUGGGGGAUCUUCGGAUCUCACGCUAUCAGAUGAGCCUAGGUCGGAUUAGCUAGUUGGUGGGGUAAAGGCCUACCAAGGCGACGAUCCGUAACUGGUCUGAGAGGAUGAUCAGUCACACUGGAACUGAGACACGGUCCAGACUCCUACGGGAGGCAGCAGUGGGGAAUAUUGGACAAUGGGCGAAAGCCUGAUCCAGCCAUGCCGCGUGUGUGAAGAAGGUCUUCGGAUUGUAAAGCACUUUAAGUUGGGAGGAAGGGCAGUAAGUUAAUACCUUGCUGUUUUGACGGUACCAACAGAAUAAGCACCGGCUAACUUCGUG
rnacentral:rRNA from 1 species